CAUCUUUUACAGUUUGUUUAAAUCAGCAUCCACACAGGGUCCAUUAUUAUGUCUCUUAAGUUCUUUCCAAGUUUCAUUUAAUGUAGAACAGUUCCCCCCUUUCUUCCUUAUUCAAGUGUUGACGGAACGGGGCAGUUACCCGGUGAAAUGGUCCACCGUCUGGCUGGCCGACUGCUCCCAGGGCCUCAUUGAACUGGUUUCCAUCCCCUGUAGUUCCCGAGCAGCGGGAGCUAGAGAGCAAAGCUUGCCCGAGCCCCCACUUUACGCCCGCCGGCCUUUCUCUUUUCUUUUUGUAGUUACACCUAACAGGUGACAUGCUGCGUGUCCUGUCGCCACACACAGUGUCUGGAUGCCUCACCUUGAGCGGUGCUGAGAUUGCUCAGUGGGUUGAAAGGAAGACAACCUUUAUUGUCCCUUUAUUGUAAGCUUCGGUCCACAUCCAUCUGGCAAUUGACUGAAUCCGUUAGGAGCUGCAAAAUACAAUUUUAGAAUGCUGUUCUGCAUUUAUUAGCUAGAAUUGUAUACAAACUUUCUCCCUCCUUCUUUAGGUCUGUUAAAUUACCCCACAAAUAAAGUUCUUACAAGGAAAGAGAGAAUUUUUUAAUAACCUUAUUCUAUAAUUUUCAGAAUUAGUUGGUGCCUUCUUCUGUCGCUAAUGUUGUUCACGUGCAUUGGUUGUGGCUUUUGUUGGCUUGUUUCACUGCUUUCUCCUCAUUCUCAUGAAGGAACCACGUGAGUGAAGGCCUGGCCGGGAGACGGGGGCAUCAGGUCUGUGUGCCGGCCUCGGCGGGUUUGGGAGUGGCUGUCCGUGCCUCUGAAGGGGGCCACCUGGCUCCACCUGAGCGAAGGGAUGCAGACGCCGGUGCCUCCUGUCUACAACCUCCACUUUGAAAAAUAAAGUUCGUGAGGAGUGCCCAGCGGCAAAGAUCAAACCAGGAAGACAGCUCUGCACACUCGUCAGACACUCCCUCCAGCAAACCUUGGUCGGUGUGCGCUUAAAUCAACGUGACAGGUGUCGUCAGAAGGCCCGUGGUCUGCUGGCGUUGUGUCCCCAGCUGCGCCGCCCACCUCUCCCUCUGCUCACAGAGGCCUGCGUCACAGCCUGUCAGCACCGGCAGGAAUGGCGACACCCCAGCUUUGACACUGGAAAAUCCAGCAUAAAAUUGCCGUAGUAGCAUAUGUCAGUGCAGGAUUAUGAAGCCUGAGGGGGCCACGGAAGACACCAGGAUCUUCAGGCAUAAAGACGAUAACGUAUGUGUGCAUGAUUACAACCUCCAUUUUACAGGUGGGGCAGCUAAGGCAGAAGCAGGGUAAGCUUUUUGCCCUCAGUCCCACAGCUAAUAAGAACCAGACCCCAGCUCAUGGGCCAUGAAAGCCCUUGACAUUGACUGCUUCUCUCCCUCAUUUCUCCUGCAGAGAGCCUUCCCCACUGGACACCCAAGUGAGCACUCCUUUCAGGGGCUACCUCAGGCUUCAGCGGUCAUCUGCACCCCAACUGCACCUUUAACUGUGUUGCCCUUACUGACUGUUAUCCCCUCCAGAUAAAUGCAUGGAAAACUCUGACAGCGAACGCAGACCUUUCUUGCACGCUCACCCCAGCUGCUAACAGGGCACAUGCGGCCGGCAGCAUGGGACUUCCUGUUCUGUCGACUGAACGAACGCCUUGCACCUCCCGAGCAAGUGGAGUCUGAGCAGCACUAGAGCUGAAAGCAAUCUUUUCCCAGUUGCUUUUGUCAAUUCUUUGAAAUGCACUGAGGAAAAGGGACAGCAGCCAAGACGAGCCUGCGGAGGGGGGGGGGCGUGCGCCCCUCUGGGCAUCAUCCCUCUGUCCAGUCGGGGCGGAAAGUUGGGGAAGAGAGCGGGUCAGUGCUGAAGGGGCGGGAGGGCACUCGGCGUUUAGAUCUGCUCCGAAGGAGGACCUCUCCAGAGGGACCUGACGGGUUUCUGUAGCUCAUUCAGCUGCGGGAAGGACUCAGAGACUUGAAACGUCAGGCGCAGACGCUGUGUUUUCGCAUGCCCCUGAAUGAAAGGACCUUUGUGACUGUCGUGUGGAUGUAUUUAAUAUUCAGCCUGCAGAAGACGGAAGGUGGUCUAUGACCUUGAGGGGCAGGAGGCCCCGCCCGCCUGCCAUCAUUUGGCAUUAGCUGUUACUGGAUCCCACAAAAACAUCAGAAAGGAAUUUGUUUUGUGGUUGGGUUUCCCUUUUUUUUUUAAACAUCAUUCCUGUUAGAUCAGUAUUUCCUCAAAUGAGUGAGGGGAAGGGCGCGGUGACUUCCUAAAGGAAAGUAUUUAUAUUUUUAGACCCAAAUCUGCUUUUACAAAGCUCUUCUUAAAAAAAUGCACAGAAAGAGAGUUCUGAACUACAAAAGGUACAUCUUAAACGGUAGUUGUCAGUUUAGCUUAUUAAAUGUAACGUUUAUGAGAACGUUAAGACCGAUUUUGUUUUAAAAGAUGACCAGAUUUUUUUUCCUGUGUUUUAGAAUGUCUGCCUCACCUUCACUACCUCCCGAACUCUCUGGCUUUCCAGUCCAGGGUGGCGGCCCCGUUCGGGCUGCGAGUAACGGGCCGGGGAGGAGGCCCUGCCGGUGGGGAAGGAGGCAGAGAGACACGGGAGAGGCGCUCUCCUCUGGUGACACAGCCCAGGCGGUUUGUCAUGAACUUCGGACACGUUCCAGUCCCAGGGGGUUCUCGAGGUCAGCCUGUCCAGUGUUCCUCGUGUUGUCUGCCACGUGCGCCAGGGGGUGGGGCCCGGAGUCCACGUGCCUGACAUGCAGCCCAGCUGUGUUCGGCCAGUGCCCAGGUGGGUACAGCGGCCCAUUUCACGAAUGAGCAGUCGGUGAUCCGAGAGGUCAUGGACCCCAGACCCGCGGCCAGUUGUACAAGGAGCCUGAGGCAUGCGCCUGCGAGUGACGCUGUGCUGGGCGGAUGGAGCUGUGGACAGGCACGCGUGGCCUCUGUGACAUGCUCGAUGGGGCUCGGGGAAGACAUCCCCUAAUGUCUCUGUCCGUCUUCCUUCAGGAUGUCAUUCUGAAGCCCAUCAAAGAAGACAUGAAACCUUUAUGUCUCGGCUGUGGGUAAGAAGUUAGCGUAACGACACCAAAGCUAAGGGGAAGUGACAAUGGGUAACCGUGCGUUUCUGAGCAAACGUUGACAGUGGGGAAAGAGGUGGCGUGGGAUUGCGCAGGCCUUGGCCAGGUGCCCAGAAUGGGGGGGGGGGAGUCACAGACCACACAGGGAAGACAAGCUGGAGGGUAGGAACUUUGUUCUCUAAUUUUUUAUCAUGAAAGUUUCAGAUAUUCAAGAAAUUUAAAAUGAUAGCGCAUUUCUCACCCAGAUACCAUCUAUCUUAAAAUUUUAAAAACAGCCCUGGCUGGUGAGGCUCAGUGGGUUGAGCACUGGUGUGCAGACCAAAGGAUUGCCGGUUUGAUUCCCAGUCGGGGCACAUGCCUGGGUUGCAGGCCAGGUUCCCAGUAGAGGGUGUGCAAGAGGCAACCCCACCUUGAUGUUUCUCUCCCCCUCUUUCUCCCUCCCUUCCCCACUCUUUAAAAAUAAAUAAAUAUUUCAAAAUAAAUUUUAAAGAUA